AGCAGUGGUUAUAUAGCACACUGCACCCCCGGACGUGGUUGAAGCCAAACUCGCCAUCCCAGAUGGGAGGGAAAAAAAGGGGAGACAACUUGGGAAUGGCUGUUUAGAACUCGGUUAACAAGAGGAACUCCUCAUCAGCUUAGCUCCUCCCAGUCACCAGAGCUGCGAUCUGCUAGAUUUUGAUACAUAGUCCCACGAAAUUAAAUUUGGCUUUGACGUGCCAACGCAGUUGAGAAUUUCGUUCCCACGGUGCGUGCCCCCUCCCCCCUACCUGUGCCAGCGGCCAUCUGGAGUUCCGGUAGCAACCUUUCCGUGUUUGCUAGUACAGUACAUCUAUGCAGCCCACAGCACCAUAAAACUACGUCAACACUGAACAAAAUCGGACAUAACAUGACGCUAAUCGUGAAAAAACUGACACCUUAAAGAGUGGUCUUUGUUUUUGCAUAUCCUUAAACACACUCGACCUUGUCCUAGCGAGAAUAGUAAAGAUUUAAAAAUAUCACUUUAUU